AGUGAACGCUGGCGGUAGGCCUAACACAUGCAAGUCGAACGGCAGCACAGUAAGCGCUUGCUCUUACGGGUGGCGAGUGGCGGACGGGUGAGGAAUACAUCGGAAUCUACUUUUUCGUGGGGGAUAACGUAGGGAAACUUACGCUAAUACCGCAUACGACCUACGGGUGACAGCAGGGGAUCUUCGGACCUUGCGCGACUGAAUGAGCCGAUGUCGGAUUAGCUAGUUGGCGGGGUAAAGGCCCACCAAGGCGACGAUCCGUAGCUGGUCUGAGAGGAUGAUCAGCCACACUGGAACUGAGACACGGUCCAGACUCCUACGGGAGGCAGCAGUGGGGAAUAUUGGACAAUGGGCGCAAGCCUGAUCCAGCCAUACCGCGUGGGUGAAGAAGGCCUUCGGGUUGUAAAGCCCUUUUGUUGGGAAAGAAAAGCAGCAGGUUAAUACCCCGCUGUCCUGACGGUACCCAAAGAAUAAGCACCGGCUAACCUCGUG
rnacentral:rRNA from 1 species